rnacentral:rRNA from 1 species
GAGUGAAACUCAAAGGAAUUGACGGGGACCCGCACAAGUAGCGGAGCAUGUGGUUUAAUUCGAAGCAACGCGAAGAACCUUACCUAAGCUUGACAUCCCAAUGACAUCUCCUUAAUCGGAGAGUUCCCUUCGGGGACAUUGGUGACAGGUGGUGCAUGGUUGUCGUCAGCUCGUGUCGUGAGAUGUUGGGUUAAGUCCCGCAACGAGCGCAACCCUUGUCUUUAGUUGCCAUCAUUAAGUUGGGCACUCUAGAGAGACUGCCAGGGAUAACCUGGAGGAAGGUGGGGAUGACGUCAAAUCAUCAUGCCCCUUAUGCUUAGGGCUACACACGUGCUACAAUGGGUAGUACAGAGGGUUGCCAAGCCGUAAGGUGGAGCUAAUCCCUUAAAGCUACUCUCAGUUCGGAUUGUAGGCUGAAACGCGCCUACAUGAAGCUGGAGUUACUAGUAAUCGCAGAUCAGAAUGCUGCGGUGAAUGCGUUCCCGGGUCUUGUACACACCGCCCGUCACACCACGGGAGUUGGAGACGCCCGAAGCCGAUUAUCUAAC